GUGGGGAAUAUUGGGCAAUGGGCGAAAGCCUGACCCAGCAACGCCGCGUGAAGGAAGAAGGCUUUCGGGUUGUAAACUUCUUUUACCAGGGACGAAACAAAUGACGGUACCUGGUGAAUAAGCCACGGCUAACUACGUGCCAGCAGCCGCGGUAAUACGUAGGUGGCGAGCGUUAUCCGGAUUUAUUGGGUGUAAAGGGCGUGUAGGCGGGACAGCAAGUCAGAUGUGAAAACCAGAGGCUCAACCUCUGGCCUGCAUUUGAAACUGUUGUUCUUGAGUGUCGGAGAGGUAAUCGGAAUUCCGUGUGUAGCGGUGAAAUGCGUAGAUAUACGGAGGAACACCAGUGGCGAAGGCGGAUUACUGGACGAUAACUGACGCUGAGGCGCGAAAGCGUGGGGAGCAAACAGGAUUAGAAACCCUUGUAGUCC
rnacentral:rRNA from 1 species